rnacentral:rRNA from 1 species
UACGUAGGGUGCAAGCGUUGUCCGGAAUCAUUGGGCGUAAAGCGCGCGUAGGUGGCCAUUUAAGUCCGCUGUGAAAGUCAAAGGCUCAACCUUUGAAAGCCGGUGGAUACUGGAUGGCUAGAGUACGGAAGAGGCGAGUGGAAUUCCAGGUGUAGCGGUGAAAUGCGUAGAUAUCUGGAGGAACACCGGUGGCGAAGGCGGCAUCCUGGACCAACACUGACGCUGAGUGAGCGAAAGCCAGGGGAGCAAACGGG